AAUACCGCAUAACGUCGCAAGACCAAAGAGGGGGACCUUCGGGCCUCUUGCCAUCAGAUGUGCCCAGAUGGGAUUAGCUUGUUGGUGAGGUAACGGCUCACCAAGGCGACGAUCCCUAGCUGGUCUGAGAGGAUGACCAGCCACACUGGAACUGAGACACGGUCCAGACUCCUACGGGAGGCAGCAGUGGGGAAUAUUGCACAAUGGGCGCAAGCCUGAUGCAGCCAUGCCGCGUGUAUGAAGAAGGCCUUCGGGUUGUAAAGUACUU
rnacentral:rRNA from 1 species